GGUUUUAUGGUGUAACGGUUAGCACUCCAGACUCUGAGUCUGGCGAUCUGGGUUCAAAUCCCGGUAGAACCU
rfam:Perkinsus marinus ATCC 50983 gcontig_1104296287462, whole genome shotgun sequence.